rnacentral:rRNA from 1 species
UACAGAGGUCUCAAGCGUUUGUUCGGAUUCAUUGGGCGUAAAGGGUGUGUAGGUGGCGCCGUAAGUCGGGUGUGAAAUCUCGGGGCUUAACUCCGAAACUGCAUUCGAUACUGCCGUGCUUGAGGACUGGGAGAGGAGACUGGAAUUUACGGUGUAGCGGUGAAAUGCGUAGAUAUCGUAAGGAAGACCAGUGGCGAAGGCGGGUCUCUGGACAGUUCCUGACGCUGAGGCACGAAGGUCAGGGGGAGCAAACGGG